AAUAUUGGACAAUGGGCGAAAGCCUGAUCCAGCCAUGCCGCGUGUGUGAAGAAGGUCUUCGGAUUNUCAAGCACUUUAAGUUGGGANGAAGGGCAGUAAGUUAAUACCUUGCUGUUUUGACGUUACCGACAGAAUAAGUACCGGCUAACUUCGUCCCAGCAGCCGCGGUAAUACGAAGGGUGCAAGCGUUAAUCGGAAUUACUGGGCGUAAAGCGCGCGUAGGUGGUUUGUUAAGUUGGAAGUGAAAGCCCCGGGCUUAACCUGGGAAUUGCUUUCAAAACUGACGAGCUAGAGUACGGUAGAGGGUAGUGGAAUUACCUGUGUAGCGGUGAAAUGCGUAGAUAUAGGAAGGAACAUCAGUGGCGAAGGCGACUACCUGGACUUAUACUGACGCUGAGGCACGAAAGCGUGGGGAGCGAACAGG
rnacentral:rRNA from 1 species